AAGGGAGGAGGAGAGAGGAAUCCCAUAUGAAACAAGGAAAUGGAGAAACAAGGUCAGCUUAGGAGUUAGAGAAUUGUUAUCAAGGAGAUGAUAUAUGGGUUGGAUUAAAGAACAUGUAAUCAUUUGCUAAGCCAAGAAAGAGAACAGAAGAUACUCUACACCAACUUGCAAAUACAGCACUUUUUUACCUCCAUCAGCCUGUAAGGAUGGGCCUCCUGUUCUCUAAUCCUUCAAAGUACCAAAUCUUUGUUUGAUCCAUAACCAGAAGACUCAACAUUAUUGAUCACCAUGUUCAUACCCCACAACCUAGAUGACCACUAACCUUACUGACAAGUCUGAACUUCUGACCCCUGUUCUUGCCAAUUAUAUAAAAUAUCAAAAUCUAAUGACUAUUUUCUCAGGAUACCUUGUAGAGCUUCUUAGCUAGACACUAGGCUUUGAUAGAAUGGAAUCACUCUGGACAAAAUGCCAUCAGGAAUACUAAGCAUCAACGACAACAAAUCUCUUCCUCCAUGAUCUCUUCUUAUUCUCUCAAUUAAACAUUCUUCCAGUUCCCACAAUUAUGAGAAAAAAACAAAACUCCUAAUUGCUUUAAAAAGUGAAUAACAUUCAUUCCAUUUCCUCUUACUUUUCUUUCAAAUCUUUGUUAAUUCAUUGUUUUCUGCCCAUUUUUGGAUGAAUUAUGCCAAGGAUCAUGAAAGCAAAACACUACAAAACAAAAUGGCAUUUUAUAUUCAGAAGGAUGUCCUUAAAUUCAUGAAUAUUCCUUAGGCAGAAUAUUGAAAAUACACUUUGUUCAUUUGUUUGUUUGAAUUGUUUGGAAAGAUCACCCUACUUGCUCACUUUUCAUAAACUUUGUAUGGACACAGCCAAAAGCAAACACCAAUCCUUUCUAAGACCUGACCAUUUUUUAAACCUGAAUACAUUGUUUUCUGUGACUGUUACUUAGAUUGUUUUAGCAUGUCUUUUAGUAAUCUGUUUUUAUGUGAAGCCUAGAAUACAGACUUGUAGAGCACAUGAAUACAACAUGGCCCUUUUUUGAUAACACAAAUUAAUUCAUCAAGAACCCAAAUUCUAAACAAAAGUUUUGCUGAAUGUCAGCCCAAUGAUUGAUCACAACUCCAAGGAAGAUGAUGAAAAAAUGCCUGGUAUCUGAAUGACUCUUCACUGAACAACACAAGAAACCAUGCAUAUUGAACAGAGAGAGGACUAGAGUUGACUGGAAGAAACAUUUACUAACUUUCAUUGCAGACUGGAUUUUGUCCUCCCAAACACCUGGCAAAGAAAGAUCACCUUCAAUGGAUGGACAAUAUCACUUUGAUAUUGGAAUAUAUAUGGAAUGUACCACUUCAACUCAUUUUGUAAUACUACAUUAAACACAUAUGCCUAUUUAACUACCUUGAAUCUUUGGUUAAUUUACCUUUCACGUGAGGUUUGUGAUAACUGACCAUGAAGUGUUUGUAUUUACCUAGAAAAGAACACAAGGAUUUUUUAAAUAAAUAUCUUAUACACAGUGAUGUAGAGUUUCACACUGGUAAUUACAUGCUUCAGCCAAAAAUGGUGCAAGUCAUUUUAGUUCACAGCUCACUGGUCUGGACCAAUCACACAGCAUCUAACCAAAAGGAGUCAGAGUUCCAACGACAAUUACAUGUUCAAAAAUUACACCUACCACUGAUGUGGGGAAAAGGUGGUAAAGUUUUUGUCUUUGCUUACAACAGAAGUAGAAGAGUCAUCAUAUUCUCAAUGAGACUGCAAGAGACUGAUAUACUAAGCAUCCUCUGAAACUACCACUGUCAUUGAAACUACACUGACAACGUCUACCAGCCAACAGUACAAUAAAACAACAUUGGAAAAGUGAUUAAUCAUCACAAUUUACAUUUGCCACCAAACCUUAUUGCAAAAAAAAUUCUCAUACAUUUUUAGAUUUAAAUGGAUAUUCCUCAAAAUCCUCCUGCAGUCCCUGAGGGUUUUAUCACACUUUUGCUCUAUGGUUUUUCAAUGGCUUCUUUCCUUUGACAUUUCUCAUAGUCAUCCAAUGGCUUCCAGUCACAUGCCUAAUAAAAUCCAAUUUAUAUCAUUGCCUUAAAAUCUCUCUAUGAUCUGGUACUAUUGAUCUCUCCAAUGUUAUCACCCUCUGUGUUCUCCCUUCAUUUUGUUUCAACCAUACCAGAAUCCUUUCUGGUCCACAAAUAUGCCAAAACUCAUCAAGACUUUGAAAGCUUUUCAUUGAUGUUCUAAAAAAAAAAACUCUUGCCCAUAAUAUGUAUGUGGCUGGUUGGCUUCUUCUUAUCUACUUCUCAAUUCCUUAUCUAAUGUUUCCUGCCCCUCUUCCACCAAUUUGCACCCCACUUUAUUUUCUUUAUUGCAUUUAUUACUAUCUGAAAUUAUCUCAUUCAUUUGUUCAUUGACUGUUUUCUCCUUUAUAGAAAGUAAAACUCAUAAGGACAGGUAGUUUCUUAUCUUAUUUACUUCCUUAUCCCAGAGUUAGUUUCUUAAUAUUGUUGAGCAAGUUUAAAUGUAUGAAUGAAUGAAUAUGUAAUUCUUUUCCCCAAAUACAGUAAUUGCAUUUUUAUAAAUCAAGUAAAUGGGAAGAUUAAGUAGCAUAUGGAGUAGCAAUUUAAAAAGUAAUAAUCAUAGACAUUUAAUAUUAAAUAUAUUUUGAUGUGAUAUGACAUGUAAAGAGGCUAGAGAGGCAGACACAGUGAAAUAUGAGGAAAAACUAUUUGUGAAUGAUGUGGUGGGGAAGGGAUUUCAGAAUUUACCUAGGGCUGCAACCAUGAAAUAAUUCUUUGAAGCUUGGGCAU